rnacentral:rRNA from 1 species
GGUUUGGCCGGUUGGUCCGUUCUUGUAACGAGUACUGGUCGGUCGGGCCUCACCGCCUGGUGAUGCGUAAUGCCCUUUAUUGGGUGUUGCGAGUAGUCAGGACCUUUACCUUGAAAAAUUAGAGUGUUUAAAGCAGGCUUAUGCCGGAAUACAUUAGCAUGGAAUAAUAGAAUAGGACGAUGAUUCUAUUUUGUUGGUUUCUAGGAGCAUCGUA